GGCAUAUCAGAGAAUUCUGUCAUUUCGGUCGCGGGGCAACGAAUGAAUAAAGAUCGUUAGCACUCUGAAAAACAGAUGACAGAUGUGCCCGAAGUUACUACUUUAUUACCUCCUUGGGUGAAAUCGAAGCGUAGUGUGUACUGAAUGCUUGUUGAUGAUGAUGCAUAUGAAUUGCAACUUACACGUCUUCCAAACCUUUUCAGUACCCUGGCACAUGCUUUGUCCAAUGGACCAUGGAAGGGACUUUACUUGGCUGACGAGGACGCACCUCACCAGUAUCAGAGCAACAGCUGUGGGGUGUUUAUGCUGAUGUACGCAAUGUAUUCUACCCUCAAAAGCAAUAUGAUUUCAGUGAGGGGGACAUGCUCUCUAUCAGGAGGUGGUGGUGUGGACAGCUGUUGGAGACCUUUAUGCUUGAAAGCCCUGCAGAACUAGCUGGCUCCUUCUCACCCUCUCCAUCUCCCCAUCUCAGUCACACCUUCCAAUCACUAAGCAGUGAAAGCCCUGCAGGACUAGCUGGCACACCAAGCUCACCCUCUCCAUCUCCCCAUCUCAGUCACACGCUCCAAUCUGGCACAACAGAGGACAGGCCAUUCUUACCACCCGAAGUCCUUCAGCAAUUUGUACAAGAGACGCUGAGACUGGACAUGGCGAUGCUUGGCGUGUUCAACAGGGUUUCAAACACAUUCCGAGAACUAAUCAAGCCUCUCCAUCCUUCCAUAUAUAUAAAUGACAGUUUGGCAGGGGACAUUAAGCUUAAUAAAGACAAUCUCAUAUACAUAACGGUUAGAAAGAUUUACAACAAUGCAGGCUGUGGCAGUGGCCUUGCGCUAUGCCUCAAAGGCUUCUCAAAAAGAAGAAUUGGCCAAGCGCACCUCUGGUACUGAGGCACGUUGCAUAUGGCAGGUUUGUCAUAAAAGAUGUCUGCCUAGCAUAAUGUUCUUCUAUUACUCCUUUUUCGUUUUAUUUGGGACGUCAUUUUUUGCAAUCCCUUUCAUUUGUAAAUGUACAUACUACUGUAGUAAAUGUAUCUGCCCAGAAAUGCUGGUAUUUUAUUACUCCUUUCUUUUUUGUUUUUGUGACAAAUGCUAUACGAUGUAUAACAUGCAUUUGUGCCUACGAUGUAUGUUGUAAGGUUAAUUGUUACAGAGCAAUUACUGUAUUUUGUCUUUAUUGAAAACAUUCAGUGGGAAAAGUAAGUGAACACUUGGAGUCAAAUGGUCUACUGUUUGAGCCUUCAUAGUGUCUGGUGGUAACUGGAUUUGAACUGCAUAAUGUCCCAAGUGUUAUUUUAAUCUAUUCAUUAUUUAAUUUGGGCAUAUUCUUAAACAACUAUAUCAAACAUCUCACUUAUAUCUAAUACCCUACCUAUACUAACCCAGAAGAUAAUGAACAUGAGAUCAUGGAGCCUCCCUGUAAUGAUCGUGUUGCAUCAAGUUUGAUGCAAAGUUUGGGCCGAGAUCCGACGCAUAAAUGUAAGCUAACA